rnacentral:rRNA from 1 species
GCAUAUCAAUAAGCGGAGGAAAAGAAACCAACAGGGAUUGCCCUAGUAACGGCGAGUGAAGCGGCAACAGCUCAAAUUUGAAAUCUGGCCUCGGCCCGAGUUGUAAUUUGCAGAGGAUGCUUCGGGCGCGGUGCCUACUGAGUUCCCUGGAACGGGACGCCGUAGAGGGUGAGAGCCCCGUACGGUAGGACGCCUAGCCUGUGUGAAGCUCCUUCGACGAGUCGAGUAGUUUGGGAAUGCUGCUCAAAAUGGGAGGUAUAUCUCUUCUAAAGCUAAAUACCGGCCAGAGACCGAUAGCGCACAAGUAGAGUGAUCGAAAGAUGAAAAGCACCUUGAAAAGGGGGUUAAACAGCACGUGAAAUUGUUGAAAGGGAAGGGCCCAUGACCAGACUUGUGUCCGGCGGAUCACCCAGCGUUCUCGCUGGGGCACUCCGCCGGGUCCAGGCCAGCAUCGGUUCUCGCCGGGGGAUAAAGGCUUGGGGAACGUAGCUCCUCCGGGAGUGUUAUAGCCCCUUGCGUAAUACCCUGGCGGGGACCGAGGUACGCGCUCCGCAAGGAUGCUGGCGUAAUGGUCAUCAGCCAC